GAACAUCGUACCCCAAAAUUUUCGGAGGAGUCGAUCUGUUCAGUCUGUCGCCCCAAGGGAACCCCCUUGGGUGGAUGAGUCGCAGACGGCUGAUAUUUCUCAGGAUGUCCCAAGUCUUGUUCAGUCUGUCGCCCCAAGGGAACCCCCUUGGGUGGAUGAGUCGCAGACGGCUGAUAUUUCUCAGGAUGUCCCAAGUCUUGUUCAGCCUGUUGCCCGUAGGGAACUCCUAGAUGUUGGGGAUCGCACACGGCUGAUAUUUCUCAGGAUGUCCCAAGUCUUGAUCAACAUCUUCAGGCACUCAGAAAUCUGCUGAGUUCUGUCAUUGUCCCUGCAUCGGCAGAAGAGGAGCAGACACCCACCAUGUCUGCAUGGAGCAGAAGACAAUCCAUCUGCGAAAGAAAAUUCAGGGCUGCAAUGCCAGAGCUUCUGAAUUCAAUGUUGGCAGCAGAGACUGUGAACAGGCAUUGUUGUCAGCAAUGCCAAACUGUUGAUGCUGUGGUCCGGUGCCUCGACUGUGUUGCCUCAGGAACUCAGUUUCUCUGUUCAGCAUGUGACGUGACUAUCCACAGGAAAAACAUCUUCCAUGACAGAGAGGCCAUGAUUGAUGGUUUUUUCGAACCCAUUCCCCCCACAUCCUUUGUGGUGGUGGGUGAAGGUGGCCAACAUCAACUUGGUGAACAAGUGUGCCUUCUUCCGAUUCCUCCACCAACCCAAAUCUGCUCCUGUGGUCCAAACCAAGACUUCUCCAUUCUCCCUGGAAAGCAGACUGUCUUGGUGACUAUCAACGGUCCAUACAAAUUGUGCUUGCCUGCUGUGUGCUGUCCAAGUUGUUCUUGCAAAUGGACUCCAGGAACAAGUGACUUGCUUGGAUGCAGAUACUGGCCAGCAACCACCAGCUGCCAACUCCUGUACAAGUUUGAUGUCUUCACAUCAUUUGAGCAGAUGAAGUUAUCCAGCCCAGCUGUCUCAACAAGCAUUUCUCAAAAUGCUUGAACAUCGAUCCCUUCGCACAGGAAGG
ensembl:lncRNA